rnacentral:tRNA from 1 species
GGCUCGGUAGGCAAAUGGCAGACCACCCUGGCUUAGAACCAAGGAUGCUGUGGGUUCGAGUCCCACCUGAGCUA